ensembl:lncRNA
CCUCUUGGAACACUUCAGUGAGCCCAUGACACAGAUGCUUUCCUUAAGUGGGAGAAAUGCCAAAUGCCUGAAGUUUGACAGCUGGUCGGAGUGGGUGUGCAGCCCCUGAACAAGACUCUGCCACUACAGAAGGAGACGGUUUCCAGAAAUUGCUUCCACAACAGCAGUGGCUGUUUCCAAAGGGAAAGACGUGGUGGUUCUAUGCAUGAAGGAGCAGAAAAAGAGGUGACUGGAAAUGCUGUGAGAUGAUGGGACACAAGGCACCAAGUGACAAUCAUCAUUCUGCAUGUUGAAAAAUGCUGCUAUGACAGUACAGUCCGAUUGCUUUUCUGGCACAAGUAACAAGUAGGUCAUCUGCAAAUGUGUCGCUUGGGUCUGCACUGACAAUUGACAGAUGUAUUUGGUUUGCACACAAGUCUCCAGGCCCCCCAAAUAAACCAGACUUUUUUAAGUGGUGGUCCCAUUAUGGCACAGCUCUCAUAAAGGCGAUAAUAUGUUUCUGGAAUAUGAAGUGCUGUUGGGAUUUAGUGAUGUUUUCCCUGUUUAAUAUAACUCAGGCUGUUGCCAAGCUCCGGUGGAGCACAGCAAAAAUGUGCAAUGGCUACUAGAAGAGGCCUGAUCAGAAUGGAUCAAUUUCAAAAUCUGAUGCUGGUACUGGUUAUGCAGACCUUUUUUUAUAUAUUUUUACUCUUUUUUCUUUUGUCAAAAGAGAUACCCAUGGCAGCUAGCUAUGUUUUUUCUAGGGGUCUGGCUUAACUUGAGCAAUGUGCUGGAUUCACGAUCUGAGAGUCAGGUCAGGCCUAAUGCUCUGGGAGUCCAUUGCCAGAACAUCCCAAUAAAAUAGGAACUGCAUAUAUGAAACAAUUACCUUUCAGUAAGCAGUUUGCAGUCUUCCUAUCUCUUCAUACAGAAAUAAAACAGAAGCAGAAUCUGUUAUGUAGCAUUAACCUUGAACCUCAUGCAAACAAUGCAGUGCUCUUCUUAAUGCUAUCAGAAAAUGAAUGAUAGCAGUAGUGUAUAUCAUAGCUUUCCAUAUAAAUCAUAAAUUCUCCCAUUUGUCAGUAAUAAAGGAUUUCAGAAGUGUCAAAUCUCAAGGAAGGAUAUUAAUCCCCGUUUUGUUUGAUAAGUCUCUGCUCUAAUAGUCUGACAUACACGUACCUGUAGACUGAGGAUAGUUCAGUUAAGCUGUGAAUAUUGAAUUGUCAUAUUCAUAACAUACACAAAGAAGGAUUAUUGUAGAGAGAGAAGAGGGUUUUGUCCUCAAUUGCCUAGAAAAUCUGAAGAAUUUUAAGACUUAACUUUCCUCACUGCUUUUUUUAUUUUCUGUGUUUUUCUCUUGAAAAGAUUGGCGCAGUCUGUCCUCCAUUUUCUUCAUCUCCCCCAAAAUAUCUGCACUUGGUGAUGGAAUAAUUCAGUUCCACAACUUUUUUAUCAUUCAGCUUUUCUAGAGAGCUUUUCUAUAGCGUUUCAACUUUCAUACGUAUUCUGGUUAAUUUUGUUGGCAAGCUAGCCUCUAAUGUCUGUCAGUAAGAAGAAAGAUGGUUUCGGUUUGUGGUCAGGGAGCAUCUUUCAAGUGAUGCUGAGGGAAGAAAAAAUCCUAUGUUGUUAUAUAUGAAAGGUGUAUUUAAUAAUAAUGCAGAGGUUGGAUUGAGUGCCAUAAAAUUUAGGCAAGAAUUAUAAUCAUUUAAAACAACAGCGUUGUAUCUGGAAGACUGACUCGUUUAUGUUUUGCAGACACUGUUGCAACUUUUUACUUUUUAAGAGAUGAAAUUAGCUUUACGUUUUUGUGUUUCCGUUAUGUCUUCUAACUCUGUGACAGAUGUUAGCUUACAGCAUCAACGUAUACAGGUAGGAGAGAAACAUAGGUUUUUUUAUUGUUUUUUUUUGCAUCCCAAGUCUAGUACUACUUUUGUAUUUUUGUUAGUAACUUGGUAAUGAAAUAAAGAGUGCACUUAAUAAAUCUGGAAAUGGUAAUAAGCUCUAGGGAAAGGCCUUGAGUGUUCUGUGAGAGUGUAUGAUAAUUUUGAGCAAUUGGUGGAACCACCUGAAUGAAGCAGAAUUGCAAAAGGCUGAAUGCAAACCAUGGUGCUUCACUAGGAGGAACCAUCUGCAGUGGCACAAAACUGAGGGUGGGUCAAGCAGCUCUGCAGACUGGAUUUGAACAUAAAUCAGUGGCUUCCUACUGUUACCAAAACUCACAGAUCCCAAAUAUUGUAGGGCAUGAAAUGUUGUACCCUAUUAAAAACAAGUGUGAGAUAUGCAAUAAAUAAAUAAAU